UGAGAUGACUUGAGGUUAGGGGCAAUAUGCCAAACGAACCCGGAGAUAGCUGGUUCUCCCCGAAAUAUAUUUAGGUAUAGCGGAAUGUUAUAGGUACUGUGGGGUAGAGCACUGAAUGAAUUCCUGCGUCGCAAGAUGUAGGCUUCAAUCAAACUCCGAAUACACAGUAAUUUUUUCAUUCUAGUCAGACAUGUCGGGCUAAGCUGAUGUGUCAAAAGGGAAAAAGCCCAGACUUCCAUCUAAGGUCUCUAAAUAAAAGCUAAGUUUUGAAGGAAGUCAAAAUUCAUAGACAACCAGGAUGUUGGCUUAGAAGCAGCCAUCAUUUAAAGAAAGCGUAAUAGCUCACUGGAGGAUGAUUUUUGGCGCCGAAAAUUUAUCGAGGAUUAAGCUUUUUACCGAAGUUGAAGAUACUUGUGCGUUGCACAAGAAUUUUUAAGUAACAAUUUUCAAUUUUCAUUGAAUUUUCAUUUGUCCAAUUUUUAAAAUUAAAAACAUUUGAGAUUUGAUUAGAAAUUAGAAAUUAGAAAUUAGAAAUUCUCGCGUAGCGCGCGAGCAUGGUAGGGGAGCGUCCUGUUCUGCAGUGAAGGUGUGGCUGUGAGGCCUACUGGAGCGGAUAGGAGUGAGAAUGCCGGUAUGAGUAGCGAGAGCACAGUGAGAAACUGUGCCGCCGAAAGCCCAAGGUUUCCUCCGCAAUGUAAGUCAGCGGAGGGUUAGUCGGCCCUAAGGGGGUGCCUCGUUAAAGGGGUAUAGCCCGAUGGAUAAGUCGUUUAAAAUUCGACUACAAGAUAUAUGAAUUCCAAGGGGAGGACGAAAGUGGAAGAGUUGAUCCCGCCAAUGGCGGGACUAAGUAGCGAGAUAGGACUUCGAGGAAAAUCCUUUAGUCUGUUUAAUUAAGCUACAACGGAGAGGACCCCGAUUUAUCGGGAAACAAUUCAAUAGCUUUCAGUUUCCGAGAAAAGUCUCAUUGGCCAGGUGCCAUACGGUACCUAGAAAAUGUAUAUUUUACCGUACCGAAUACCGACACAGGUGGGCAAGUGUAAGUGCACUUAGGCGAUCGGGAGAAAAAUGAUUAAGGAACUCGGCAAAAAAGCUGGGCGUAACCUUUGGGAGAUGCCCUGCCUCGAUUAAUCUCGAGGCUACAACAAAAGACUACUUAGCGACUGUUUAUCUAAAACACAGGUCCCUGCAAAAGCGAAAGCUGACGUAUAGGGGCUGACACCUGCCCAGUGCUGGUAAGUCAAAAGUAGAGAGUGAUGUUCCAAAAGAAUUAAGCUUUUUACUUAAGCUCCAGUAAACGGCAGCAGUAACUAUAACUGUUCUAUGGUAGCGAAGUUCCUUGUCGGGCGAGUUCCGACCCGCACGAAUGGUAGAACGACUGAGUAACUGUCUUAAUCAUUUACCCGGCGAAAUUGAGUUGGCUGUGAAGACGCGGCCUAGUUGUCCUUGGACAAGAAGACCCCGGGAGCUUUACUGUAUCUUGGCAUUUGAAAGUUUAUUUUGACUGUUUAGAAUAGGAGGGAGGGAGGUGCCGUCUGGUACCUCCCAAUAGUGAAAUACCUCUCUUCGGAAUAUGCAAUCAUUACCUUAUCGCCGCACAAAAAUCCGGCUAAGGGACAGUGUCUGGUGGGCAGUUUAACUGGGGAGGUUGACUCCUAAAUCGUAACGGAGUUGUACAAAGGUUGGCUAAUUACGGAUGGAAAUCGUAAUGAUAGUGCAAAGGCAUAAGCCAGCUUAACUGCGAGACCUACAAGUCGAGCAGAGACGAAAGUCGGUCUUAGUGAUCCUCCGUAGCCUAGUGGUAGGCUCGGAGCUUAACGGAUAAAAGCUACCCCGGGGAUAACAGGCUGAUCGCAUCCAAGCGUCCACAGCGACGAUGCGGUUUGGCACCUUAAAUAACAUUGGGGCGCCUAUAGAAGUAAUUCUAUAAGUCUGGUUAUUCUACAACGCGUUUAGAGAACGCGUAGAAAUAAUAAAAUCAACUAGUUAAUAUCGGUGGACUCCUUCGACUCGAACAGUCGCUCAGGACAAUACCGAGGGAAGGAGGUACCGUAUGGCACCUCCCCCGUAUCGACUUGUGUUUGGUUUCAAACGAACACGGAUGGAAGUCUCUGUCCGAAGUAACAUCGGACAAAUCUAUAGCUUCCAUAAUUAGACUAGCUCCUUUAAGUAAAGGAAACUCGAAGCACGAAUAUCGAAGCUCGAAACUUUUUCGAAUUUCGGAUUUAGAAUUUCGGAUUUCCGGUGUGAAGGAUGAAGGUAUAGUCAAUGCACUUAGUAAUAAGUCGCGAUGUCGGCUCAUCGCAUCCUGGGGGUGGAGAAGCUCCCAAUGGUCUGGCUGUUCGCCAGUUAAAGCGGUACGCGAGCUGGGUUCAGAGCGUCGUAAGACAGCUCGGUCUCUAUCCAGGACAACCGUUGAUAUUUGAGGAGAGCCGUCCCUAGUACGAGAGGACUGGGAUGGAGGAAUCCCUGGUGUGCCAGUUGUUUCUAAAGAAGCAUCGCUGGGUAGCUAGAUUCCUUACUGAUAACCGCUGAAAGCAUCUAAGUGGGAAGCAGACUCCAAGAUUAGAUAUCGAUUUGCGCGCAGCGCAAGAGUUUUCAAUUUAAAAUUUUCAAUUUACAUUGAAUUUUCAUUGUUUCAAUUUUUCAGAAUUUGACCAUUUGGAUUUGAUUAGAAAUUAGAAAUUAAGAAUUAGAAAUUCUCGCGCUGUGCGCGAGUGAGAUCCCUUCAAGACCAGGAGGUUGAUAGGCGGGCGGUGUAAGCAUAGUAAUAUGUUGAGCCUACCCGUACUAAUGAUCGAU
rnacentral:rRNA from 1 species